AUGAGAAACCUUCCUUUUCCAACUGUGAUUGUCGAACGGAGUCGAAGUGCGCGCGUGUGUAAUUUCCGUUUCGAGGUUAGAUUUUGAAACCUCUGUUUUGUGAAAACUUAUUGUUUAAUGUUGUUCUUUUCUAUAGUAGCUAGGUCCAGUGGAAAAGUCUGAUCGUUAAAAGAUUAAGUGUUAGUAACGAUUAAAAAAAGAUUACAAAGAAAAGGUGAAAAGACGAAUUUACUACAAACAAAAGAAUCGUCCACAACGCACAUGUUAAAACAAUAAGAAAAAGGUCCGUUCAAGGGGCCUUUUUCUUCCGUUCUAUUUUCAAGUUCGUCCUCGGGUGUUCAUGGUGGUGCAAACUCGUGCCGAAUAACUACAACUUUCGGCGGCAGUGUAACAGUCGACGUAAACACGAUAGGCAAACCGCGAGCAAGAUCGGAACGUUCCCGGCCAUUCCCGGCAUUCUUCGCCGAUGCCGCCAUUGUUACCGCGAACGAGAUCGGACAGAUCCCGGCCAUUCUCUUUCCAUCUACGCCUUUUUGCGACCGUUCAGCAUCCGCCAUUGCAAUCCGCUCCGCGGAUAGAGAAAUCCGCCAUGAUACCAUCAAACACCGGAGGUGGUCUAAGAAAGCCCAGGACCAUUUGAGAACAACCCUCCAUCCGACCUAUCAUCGGGAUUCCAACCAAUGUUUCCCAACUACCACGAUUCGUACCACAAGGACCAGUGGUUACCCAGCAUCAAACCCCAGCCUACCAUCGAAAGCUUUCGCACCGAUCAUCGAGACUCCAGAUCCGGAUCCGGCAGCAACUAGCGAACAGCAAGUAUACCCUUUGUGACGUCGUAAAUAAAUAUUGUUGAUUAGUAUGUAGUAAAUC